CACGUAGGGGGCGAGCGUUGUCCGGAUUUAUUGGGCGUAAAGAGCUCGUAGGCGGUUCGGCAAGUCGGGUGUGAAAUUUCGAGGCUCAACCUCGAAACGCCACUCGAUACUGCUGUGACUGGAGUCCGGUAGAGGAGUGCGGAAUUCCGGGUGUAGCGGUGGAAUGCGUAGAGAUCCGGAAGAACACCGGUGGCGAAGGCGGCCUGCUGGGCAGUUUAGCUGACACUGAGGCGCGACAGCGUGGGGAGCAAACAGG
rnacentral:rRNA from 1 species